AAAUACCUACCAGUACUUCUCAAAACUCUUAAAGUCUUCAAAAACUGGAAAAGUCGAAGAAAACAUCACAGCCAAGAGGAGCCUAAGGAGACAUGAUGAUUAACUUAAUGCGAGAUCCUAAAUGGAAGCCUGAAACAGAAACAGGACAUUAGUCCACUCGGACACUACUGACAGUUGGAUACCCCCGUUCCUCACUGAGGGUGUUUCCCUCCACAUGCAUGGAUCCUGCAUGAGAAGCAUACUCCGGCCUUUAUCUACCCUGUCCCUCAUUCCUGUCCCCAGAAGUCUCAGUGAAUUAUCGGACUGUGAAUAACAUUUUCAAAAAUAAAAAAUCACUUAAUCUACAUAUCAAGCAGAUGCUGGGAGUGGCCGUGGAGGUAGAGGAGUGCUGGCGGCAUCACUGAGGCUGCAGCAGCAGCAACCACCCACGAUGGAAGAGCUCUAUUGUCCGUGCUGUUGCACGGACACAGACUGCCCAGCAGCCCAGGGCUGACGACCACCAGCAGGCUGCGAUGAGCAUAAAGAGAGCUUGCAGACAUCUCCUGGGCAGCUUGCGGACCUCUCCCCUCUCUGCCCACUGAGCCUUCAGAGCUGACUUCACAGAGGUAGCACUGGAAACGCUAUCACAUUCGGUACCGUCUUUUUAGGACAGCCUCAUGGAAAUCGAUAGACUGAAAUCAUUCGCCCAUAUCCAAAUGAUGUUGGCCUUGGAUAUAUGGUCUGACCAUCUUGAACUUUCUCAUCAUAUCAAAAUUACUGCAUUUAUGCUGUUGUGAUAUUACUGUCACUUUCACGUUUGAGUUGGAAGAGUCAGUCUUGCACAGGAUCUUUCCUUCCCUGUGCCUAAAUUUUGAGUAGCUUCUACAGUAUCAAUAGUGGUUUCUGAGUCUUAAAAACAUGUUGAAGAAUGUGAAUUGCCAUAUAAUUAAAAGUUAUUUUAUUAAAAUAAGCACAAAUCGAAAAACCCAGUGUAAAAUUUGCAUCAUUUUAAAGACACAAUGGAGGGGUACUUGAUAGACAUUUGCACUUGUGGCCAGCUGCAUCUGGCUAUGCUCCCAGAACCCCCAGAGGUUCUCUUAGACUUCGAGAUGCUUUUAGGAGGGCUACAGGGGGAGAGUCUGAGAAUCUCUGUUUAGCUGAUUUUCACCUUCUUUCCUCCGCUUUCUACUUCCUUUAGAAAUGUCCUUUUAUCACACGCACCAUUCUAACACAUGACCAUGUUUCUCACAAUAGAAAAAAGAGACAUGAUAAAACUAAUUCACACUCAAGUUCCAAGAAUAAUUUAUUUGUAUGAAGCCAUAAUAUAAAAGAAAAAAUAAUGAAA